rnacentral:rRNA from 1 species
AUUGAACGCUGGCGGCAUGGCUAAAACAUGCAAGUCGGACGCGAAAGGGGGCAACCCCGAGUAGAGUGGCGAAAGGGCGAGGAAUACAUUUCUACGUACCUCAAGGUCGAGGAUAAUCAGGGGAAACUCUGACUAAUACUCGAUGAUAUGGCUGAUGAAUAGUUAGCCAUCAAAGGCUUGCUGCCUUGAGAGCGGGGAAUGUCCUAUCAGGUAGUUGGUGAGGUAACGGCUCACCAAGCCGAAGACGGGUAGCGGGUGUGAGAGCACGGCCCGCCGCAUCGGGACUGAGACACUGCCCGGACUCCUACGGGAGGCUGCAGUAACGAAUCUUCCGCAAUGCGCGAAAGCGUGACGGGGCAAUGCCGCGUGCAGGAUGAAGCCCCUCGGGGUGUAAACUGCUGUCAGGGUUUAGAAAC